rnacentral:misc_RNA from 1 species
CUUGGCUGUGAGACUGUGACUACUAAAUUUUCAAACACUGUGUCUUCUUAGCCUUUGUUGGAAAAGAUUAGCUUAUUUGUUAUUUAGUUUUUAGUUUUAGAAGCCCUAAGAAUUCAUUGGCAAGGAUAAAAAUUUCUCAAUUUGCUUUUUUAGAGAAGUUUUCUUUUUUUAGAAGUUCUCCAAAAUUUUAAAACAUUAUUAGAAAAAUAUUUAAAAAGUACAUAAUUUAAAUUUCAUUUACCUGCCAAACUAUUGGGACCGUAAAAUAAAAGUUUGUGCUAAUUUGGCUAAAUAGCUAAUUUUGGAUCUAAUUGGUUUGACGUAUAAUUCUGGAAUUAAUUUUACUUUAAUUCCAAUGUUUAACAGUGGAGAGAAGUUUUUUUAAUAGAAUGAAUUAUUCAGGUUAAAUGUUUUCUUCUGGCAGGUUUUCUUGAAUCUCUCUGGAGGG